UUUAUUUUACAUAUAAAUUUUAGCAUAUAAUUUUAAUUAUUUUAAUAAUAAUUAAUUAUAUUAGUAGUAAUUAAUAUUAAAAAUUUAAGAAAUUAAGAUUUAGUAAUAUAAAAAUUAAUAACUAAUUUUGUGCCAGCAGUUGCGGUUAAACAAAAGUUAAAUUAAAUUAUUUCAGUUUAUAAUUAAUAAAUAAAAAUUAAAAUAAAUAUUAGAUUAUUAGGUGAAAUUUUAAUUUAAUUAAAUUUUAUUUAAAUUUUAUGAUUUAGUAAAUUUUAAUAUAAACUAGGAUUAGAUACCCUAUUAUUAAAAAUUUAAUUUAUAAUACUAAAAUAGUAAAUAAUAAUUUAUUGAAACUUAAAUAAUAUGGCGGUAUUUUAGUUCAUUUAGAGGAAUCUGUCUAAUAAUUGAUAAUCCACGAAUAAAUUUACUUAAUUUAUAAUUUUGUAUAUCAUUGUUAAAAAAAUAUUUUUUAGUAAAAAUAAUAUUUAAAAUUUAAUAAUAAAAAUUAAUUCAGAUCAAGAUGCAGAUUAUAAUUAAGAAUAUGAUGGAUUACAAUAAAUAUAUUUAAAUGAAUAAUUUUUUUGUAAUAAAAAUUUGAAGGUGGAUUUAAAUGUAAUUUUAAUUAAUUUAUUAAAAUGAUUAUAAAUUAAAAUAUGUACAUAUUGCCCGUCACUUUCAUUUAAAAAUUGAAAUAAGUCGUAACAAAGUAGAGGUACUGGAAAGUGUUUCUAGAAA
rnacentral:ncRNA from 1 species